CAUUUAUAUUAAUUCACUGUGUAACACGAUUUUUGUUCCUGGCAAAUAAUUGUCUUUUUCCAACUACAUUUAUUGCAAAACAAUAGAAAAAUUAUUCAUGCUAAACU